AUGUCUAACCCUGCCUUCCCUGAUCCCUCCUGGAGCACCACUCUGCUCUCUUGGGUUGCUCUCUUUCUCCUGGGAACAAAACACAUGGAGGCUGCAGUCACCCAAAGCCCAAGAAACAAGGUGACAGUAACAGGAGGAAACGUGACAUUGAGCUGUCAUCAGACUAAUAGCCACAGCAACAUGUACUGGUAUCGGCAGGACAUGGGACAGGGACUGAGGUUGAUCCAUUAUUCAUAUGGUGCUGGCAGCACUGAGAAAGGAGAUGUCCCUGUUGGGUACAAGGCCUCCAGAACAAAGCAAGAAGACUUCUUCCUCAUGCUGGAGUUGGCUUCUCCCUCUCAGACAUCAGUGUACUUCUGUGCCAGCAGUGAUGCACAGUGAUGUGUGGGUUCCUCCCCUCUGAACAGAAAGGAAAUUAGAAAAGCAAAGUGCCUGUGUGCCUCAGGAAGUCCCUGCCUCUUUAAGAGUCACUGAGCUCUGACAAACUAGGAACCACACAACAUAGAUCUCAGCCUGACUAGAGGUCACUCUAAGACCUUUGCAUAGGUGCUUGUCUCAUCUCUUAAUUUUUUUUCAGAGCAUAAAAACAUUCUUUAGUUAGAGUUCAUGAUGACCCCUUUAAAUAUCUUAUAGCCACUACAUCUAUACCUGUGGCCUUCAAUGACCUCUUCAACCCCUUUCUAACAACUGAGUUAAUUAUGUGAUGUCUUUUCUGGCUAUAUUAAAUAGUAGCU